ensembl:rRNA 5S_rRNA 5S ribosomal RNA
GUCUAUGGCCAUACCACCCUGAACACACACGAUCUUUUCUGAUCUCAGAAGUUAAGUAGGGUCGGACCUGGUUAGUACUUGGAUAGGAGAAAAAGUUUUUUGACC